ensembl:lncRNA
GCGGGAUCCCAUGUAUUCUUCAUGGAUAAGACAAUCCUAUAUUGCACUGGAGCAAGCUCAAAAGAAGAGGAGAAAAAAAAACACAAAGUCACAUGCAUUACUGUUAUGAUAGCAUUAUGGUGUUAUUUAUAGUAAUCACUAUGAACUCUUGUCACAUGGAAAAGAGCAUUUUUUUUUUUUUUUUUUUUUGAAAAACUGCAUUUGGAUUUGCACUGUGAUUUUCAUAUUUUUGGGUGAACUGUUCCUUUAAUAUUGGAACAUUAACUGAGGUAAAAAAAAUGGUGAAAGUCUCCCAGUUUCCGUGGAGUUUUCUGCAGUGCUGUGAUCAUGUGUGAAUUGUCUCUAACUUGAGCUUGGGAGUGAAGUUAUAUUUCACCAGUGAGUUCAUGUGAGCAGCUCCACCCUCUGUUAUACUGUUUAUGAAAAGACACCCAAAACCAGCAGCAAUACGAGCCAUUUCUGCAGUGAUGCAACACUGUCAAGUGACACAGCAGACGCAGGAGACACCCAGUGAGAUGAUACGCUACGGCCUUGUUAUUGUUGUUGUGAACUGUAAGGUUUCGACGUUCUCAUUGAUUCCAACCUCAAACCGUGGCUCUUGGAAGUGAACUUCUCUCCCUCACUGGCAUGCGUCAGAGGCUGCCAUCCGCCAACAGUGCCGACCCAGAAGCUCAGAGAGAGAAAACUGGUGCUAAGCAAGCAGAGAGUACACGGAGUCUCACAGCAGAAGAGUGGUUAUCUGGAAUUCAAGACAUCUAUGAACGCCAUGUUGGCUAAUAAACUUUUCCAUGGAAGAUCAGUGAUCUCCCGAUCGAGGAACAGCAUGAGUGAUAAUAUAUCUCUGGUGUUGGGGACCUUCUACAUGCAGCGUGUGGUCCAAUAUGAAAGGAAGCUUCUUAGCCUGGAGGCACGCAAGCAGAGACGCAAACCCGGA